AACGAACGCUGGCGGCAAGCUUAACACAUGCAAGUCGAGCGCCCCGCAAGGGGAGCGGCAGACGGGUGAGUAACGCGUGGGAAUCUACCCAUCUCUACGGAAUAACGCAUGGAAACGUGCGCUAAUACCGUAUACGUCCUUCGGGAGAAAGAUUUAUCGGAGAUGGAUGAGCCCGCGUUGGAUUAGCUAGUUGGUGGGGUAAAGGCCUACCAAGGCGACGAUCCAUAGCUGGUCUGAGAGGAUGAUCAGCCACACUGGGACUGGGACACGGCCCAGACUCCUACGGGAGGCAGCAGUGGGGAAUAUUGGACAAUGGGCGCAAGCCUGAUCCAGCCAUGCCGCGUGAGUGAUGAAGGCCCUAGGGUUGUAAAGCUCUUUCACCGGUGAAGAUAAUGACGGUAACCGGAGAAGAAGCCCCGGCUAACUUCGUGCCAGCAGCCGCCGUAAUAC
rnacentral:rRNA from 1 species